rnacentral:pre_miRNA from 1 species
AGUGAAUUUGCUGAGUUAUAUGCUAAAUUUAUGUUUCACUUUUUAAGAAACUGCCAAAAUGUUUUCCAAAGUAAUUGUACCAUUCUACAUUCCCACCAGCAAU